rnacentral:lncRNA from 1 species
CCAAGGGCAUGGCAGCAGCAUCUGGUGGGGUUCUGUGCUACAUUACCCCAUGGUGGAAGGGCAGAGGGCAGAGGGCAGAAGAGGAAAGGCAGAAGAGAAAGACAGCAUGGGAGACAGCAAGAAAAUGGAGGCCAAAACUUAUCCUUUUAUCAGGAAUCCACUCCCACAAGAUUGCACAGAGUUCUUGAUAUUGAAGAGUGAACCAUGUUCAAGGAAGAAGAGAUCACCCCAUAAAACCCUUCCAGCUUGUGUUACAAUCAGAUGCCUCUAAGAUGGACAAAAAAGGCACACAGAGAUAUUCCCUACUCAGGCUCUGGUCAAAUCUCUCUCCACUUAAUGGAGCAUGGCUUUCAACUGCACCUGGAGCAUGUUUGUAAACAAUGCCAUCAGGAAUAAAAGUGUUUGAAGCUGAAGCUGGGUCUUCCAUCCAAAUGUGGAAAGCGUGCCAGAGGACUGUCUUUCCCAUUCCCGCCCCACCUGCACAGCCAUAGACAAAGCUCAGCUCCGGGAUAAGGUAAAUGUCAAGAGCCACACAGCAGCAUGCCUUCCCUUCAAGACAGAACAAAGGGUGGUUUUCUUGGCCAACCUACUGCACAGGAGGAAGCCAAGCAACACCAUUGAUUUAAGCCCCAAGGAAAACCUAAAAUCUUUGGCCACUUCAGGUUGUAAAUCUGGCAUCAGAUGUCAGAAACUUGUGUGAAAACAGAGACUACUAGGUUUUACUAUGGCUUGAAAGGAAUAACCCAAAGAAAAGCCUGACCCCAAAAAAGGACUGUCCCAGGCUCAGGGCCCCACAGCGACCACAUGCCUGGGCAGGGAACUGCCGGGAAGGUAGCCCAGAAUGGUCACAUCUCACUCUGCAGCCCCCUCACCGGACAAGGACACCUCCUGUCAGGUUCCGAGUUCUAGUCAUUCUUCCUUGUCUCUGAGAGCUGUCCAUCUUUUCAUACCAUUUCUAUUGCCACCCGUGGUUCAGCCUGAGGUGCCUCGGAGGACUCACUGGCCAGGCCCCAUGGGCACUCUACACACAUGAUUGAGCAAGACCUCUAAAUGAGACCACAAAGCAGGCCCAUUUCCUUCAGGUGACUGACAUGGGAACUCAGGCUGAGAGCAACUGACCAAGCAGACACAGCUAAAAAGAUGGAGCCAGGAUUCCAGCCAGGAUCUGCCUGACUUUAAGUAAUAUGUGUUUCCCACUAAACCCAUGUCAUGGCUUUCCCCAGCUCUCGAAGCUUUGAUGGCCCCACUGCCUACUGAAUUCAGUCUUAGCUGCCAAUCCAGGGGCCAAGCCCUCCGUGCCCUGCCCUGCCCUACUCUUCAGCCUUGCCCAGCUUUUCCCCUCCAUGAACAUCCUCAAGUCCCCCCCACACUCAAGACUCCCCAGGAGUGUCCCUUUGCUCAUCUGCAAUGUCCUUACUACCAGCCCAUCUGCCCUUUCCAAGUCCUGCUCACUCAUCAAUACUUCUGUGACCCCCUGCCGUGAGAACACAUUCUCUGCUAAACCCCUGCUCUUCCAGCGCACUUUCCUCAGAGUUAUGUACAGAGAGGGUCUCCCCCUGCUAGACUGAGCCACCUCGGAGGAAGAGCCUGUGCCUGGAUUUUCACAUCUUUGUAUGUCCUUCCAUCCUUAGCAAAGGCACCUGGAAUGUAAUCAAAAUCACCAAAUAUGUGUUGGAUAGAUGAAUAGGUGGAUGGAUUAUAAAUAAAUAAAGUAUUUAUCUAGGUUGUUACCUCUCA